rnacentral:sRNA from 1 species
UUUUUAACCCUAAACCCUUAAACCUAAACACUUAAACCUAAACCCUAAACCCUUAAACCUAAACCCUAAACACUAAACCAUAGAUCCCAAACUUUAAAACCUAAAUCCUACUUUAGGCUUCCGGAAUCCGGUUGCGGUUCUAGUUCUUAUGCUCAAUGAUACACAAAGCAUCUAGUCAUAUUUGACUACGAAUCCGCUAACCAAGCUUAUUCUUGAUA